CAGACCUUGACAGUUGUAACUGAUAGACAGGGCUGGGGCAAUGCUGAUGAAAGGCAAAUUCCUGAGAGAAAAAUCACCCAAAUUUUUCAGUGCCUUCUCUAGCUUUCUAGAAGUUGUUAUGAGUGGACCUGACUACCUAGAGAGAGUAAUACAGAAGCUCCAUGCCGAUCACAGCUACCUCAUUACCAAGUUCCUCCAAGAUGGCCGCCCCUGAGGAGAAUCAUCAACUGGGCUUUACGGAAGAGAGAAAUCCAAACGACCAUCAGCAACAAAUGAAAGACUGAAGUUGAAAGUUUCAAGAUUGUCAAGAAUGACAAGUUGGACUUGGUCUAGUUACUUCCACAGCAGCAGGAGGAACAUGUGUGUGACUCAGGAUAACUGGGGAAGCCUUGGCUAGGCUUUCCUCAUGUCAACCUACCACUCAAAGGGAGAAAACCUCCUGAUCAGAGGAGCCCAGAACCCAGGUUUGGUGGGGGUGGUUGGGGGGUGAGCCUGGAGAAACUAGAAAUCUAAGGGUGUGUGUGUGUGAACGUGUUUUGUUGUUGUUGUUGUUGUUGUUUUUGACAGGAAAUCCAUAAUUUUUGAAUGCUGGCCGAGGUCUGUGACCUCUGACUGAAUGGUUUCCAAGCUCUGAAUUCCUAGGUAUAACACUUGCUGAAGAAAGGAAAAGCUCUCUGAUUUAGGUGUAAGCAAAACAAUCUAAACAGUAGGAUAAAAUCGUGUUGGAGUGGAGUUCUGUGUGAGCGCUGUCUUUG
rnacentral:lncRNA from 1 species